CCUACGGGCGGCUGCAGUGAGGAAUAUUGGUCAAUGGGCGGAAGCCUGAACCAGCCAAGUCGCGUGAGGGAUGAAGGUUCUAUGGAUUGUAAACCUCUUUUAUAAGGGAAUAAAGUGCGGGACGUGUCCCGUUUUGUAUGUACCUUAUGAAUACGGAUCGGCUCACUUCGGGCCAGCAGCCGCGGUAAUACGGAGGAUGCGAGCGUUAUCCGGAUUUAUUGGGUUUAAAGGGUGCGUAGGUGGUCUUUUAAGUCAGCGGUGAAAGUCUGUGGCUCAACCGUAGAAUUGCCGUUGAAACUGGGAGGCUUGAGUAUAUUUGAGGCAGGCGGAAUGCGUGGUGUAGCGGUGAAAUGCUUAGAUAUCACGCAGAACCCCGAUUGCGAAGGCAGCCUGCCAAGCCAUGACUGACGCUGAUGCACGAAAGCGUGGGGAUCAAACAGGAUUAGAUACCCCUGUAGUC
rnacentral:rRNA from 1 species